UACGUAGGGUGCGAGCGUUAAUCGGAAUUACUGGGCGUAAAGCGUGCGCAGGCGGUGAUGUAAGACAGAUGUGAAAUCCCCGGGCUCAACCUGGGAACUGCAUUUGUGACUGCAUCGCUGGAGUGCGGCAGAGGGGGAUGGAAUUCCGCGUGUAGCAGUGAAAUGCGUAGGUAUGCGGAGGAACACCGAUGGCGAAGGCAAUCCCCUGGGCCUGCACUGACGCUCAUGCACGAAAGCGUGGGGAGCAAACAGG
rnacentral:rRNA from 1 species